rnacentral:rRNA from 1 species
GACGAACGCUGGCGGCGUGCUUAACACAUGCAAGUCGAACGAAGUGGCGAACGGGUGAGUAACGUGUAAUCAACCUGCCCUUCAGAGGGGGACAACAGUUGGAAACGACUGCUAAUACCGCAUACUGAAGGAGGGGAUUGCGUCUGAUUAGCUAGUUGGAGGGGUAACGGCCCACCAAGGCGAUGAUCAGUAGCCGGUCUGAGAGGAUGAACGGCCACAUUGGGACUGAGGCCCGGCCCAGACUUCUACGGGAGGCAGCAGUGGGGAAUCUUCCGAAAUGGACGAAAGUCUGACGGAGCAACGCCGCGUGAGGGAUGACGGCCUUCGGGUUGGAAAGCUCUGUUAAUCGGGACGCGGUACCGGAAUAGAAAGCCACGGCUAACUACGUGCCAGCAGCCGCGGUAAUUC